rnacentral:rRNA from 1 species
ACGGGAGGCAGCAGUGGGGAAUAUUGCACAAUGGGGGAAACCCUGAUGCAGCGACGCCGCGUGGAGGAAGAAGGUCUUCGGAUUGUAAACUCCUGUUGUUGGGGAAGAUAAUGACGGUACCCAACAAGGAAGUGACGGCUAACUACGUGCCAGCAGCCGCGGUAAAACGUAGGUCACAAGCGUUGUCCGGAAUUACUGGGUGUAAAGGGAGCGCAGGCGGGAAGACAAGUUGGAAGCGAAAUCUAUGGGCUCAACCCAUAAACUGCUUUCAAAACUGUUUUUCUUGAGUAGUGCAGAGGUAGGCGGAAUUCCCGGUGUAGCGGUGGAAUGCGUAGAUAUCGGGAGGAACACCAGUGGCGAAGGCGGCCUACUGGGCACCAACUGACGCUGAGGCUCGAAAGUGUGGGUAGCAAACAGGAUUAGAUACCCUGGUAGUCCACACCGUAAACGAUGAUUACUAGGUGUUGGAGGAUUGACCCCUUCAGUGCC